AGGGCGUAUAGUGAAUGCCUUGGUUCUUGAUGGCGACGAAAGACGUGAACUGCCUGCGAUAAGCUUCGGUGAGGUGGCAAUUAACCUGUGACCCGGAGAUCUCUGAAUGGGGAAACCCAUCCGUAUUUAAAUGACGGAUAUCCAUUGUAUGAUGGAAGCAAACCUAGGGAAGUGAAACAUCUCAGUACCUAGAGGAAAAGAAAACAAAUGUUAUUUCCUGAGUAGCGGCGAGCGAAACGGAAUCUAGCCCAAACCCGAAUAAGCUCGCUGUAGUUAAUAUAGCAAUAUAUUGAAUAUAGCGAGCUGAAUCGGGGGUUGUAGGACAUUGAAGUCGUAAAGACAAAAAGUUACAAAUUUUUUGCAUAGGUGAAACAUCUGGAAAGGUGUGACAAAGAGGGUGACAUCCCCGUAACCGAAAUGUGGAAAACUUUUACAAUGCUCCUGAGUACUUCGAGACAUGAAUAGCUCGAAGGAAUCUGCCGGAACUAACCGGUAAGGCUAAAUACAUCAAGAGACCGAUAGUGAACUAGUACCGUGAGGGAAAGGUGAAAAGAACCCCUGUAAGGGGAGUGAAAUAGAUCUGAAACCAUACGCCUACAAGGAGUCAGAGCGGUUAUUUAUAACCGUCAUGGCGUGCCUAUUGAAGAAUGAGCCAACGAGUGUAUGCAUGCGGCAGGCUAAGCGCUAUAAAUGCGUGGAGCCAUAGGGAAACCGAGUCUGAAUAGGGCGAAAUUAUUGUCGUACGCAUACGACCCGAAGCCAAGUGAGCUUACCAUGGGCAGGGUGAACCCCGUAGAAAUAUGGGGGGAGGCCCGAACCAGUUGGUCGUACGAUUCCUUUGGAUGACCUGUGGUAAGGAGUGAAAAGCUAAUCGAACUUGGUAAUAGCUGGUUCUCUCCGAAAUAUAUUUUGGUAUAGCGUUACGUGUUCCCUCUGGGGGUAGAGCACUGGCUGGUUUGGACAGGGUGAAAGCUCGCCAAACCUAUCAACCUCCGAAUACCAGAUGGUAAAUAGCAUAGCAGUCAGACAGUGGGGGCGAAGCUCCACGAGUCGAAAGGGAAACAGCCCUGGAUCUCAAGUUAAGGUCCCUAAAUCUACAUUAAGUGCACUUAAGGAGGUGAAAUUUCUCCGACAAUGAGGAGGUUGGCUUAGAAGCAGCCAUCCUUUAAAGAAAGCGUAACAGCUCACUCAUCUAGAGAAUUCGCGCCGCAAAUAAUCGGGGCUAAAAUGUAGUACCGAAGCUGAGGGUUUGUGCAUUUCAUAGAGAAAGUAAAUUUCUCAAAUUAUUUUAUUAUUAGAAGAGCGUCUUUAGCUCAGUUGGUUAGAGUAUCAGACUGAAAAUCUGAGGGUCGCAGGUUCAAUUCUUGCAGGACGCGCUAAUAAAAAUAAUUCAAAAGUUAAAAAAAUAGUCUUGUGGCCGAGAGGACAGGCGUGGGUCUGCAAAACCCACCACGGCGGUUCGAAUCCGCCCAGGACUUCGAAGAUUUUAUCUUCACAAGUUAAGCAUCUGUAUGAUUAGAAUUUCUAAUCAUACAUCAUGUUUACUUUUUCUAUGAAAUGCAUGAGCGGUAGGAGAGUAUUGUACUCUGCGAUGAAGCGGAAGGCGUGAGCCACCGUGGAGCGUGUACAAGUAAGAAUGUUGGCACAAGUAACCGCAAGACAGGUGAAAUCCCUGUCCGCCGAAAGACUAAGGUUUCCGCUGCAACGACAAUCGACAGCGGGUUAGUCGGGCCUAAGGAGAUGGCGAUAGCCGCAUCCGAUGGACACAUGGUUAAUAUUCCAUGACUUUAUUGCAAGCGAUGGAGGGACGGAGAACAUAAUUCCCCACGCAUUAUUGGAUUUGACGCUCGUACUGGUAGAGAGGAUAUUUAGGAAAAUCCGGAUAUCACAUACUCUCGAAAGAGCGACGACUGGAGCCCUCGGGUUCCAGAAGGGGGAAGAAGAGUCUUCCAAGAAAAUCUUCUAGCAUUCAAUUGCAAUGAAUCCGUACCGUAAACCGACACAGGUAGUCAGGUCGAGUAGACCAAGGCGAACGAGUGAGUGAUCCUCAAGGAACUCGGCAAAAAAGCAGCCGUAACUUUGGAAUAAGGCUUGCCCAUGUUUAACUACAUGGGCCGCAGCGAAAGUAUCUCUGGCGACUGUUUAUCAAAAACACAGCUCCCUGCGAAAUCGUAAGAUGAUGUAUAGGGGGUGACACCUGACCAAUGCCAGAAGGUUAAAUAUCGGUGGUGUACAACAUCCAGCGCGUGAUCAAUUGAUCGUGCAUUGAAUGUUGUAUGCUGGCUGAUAUAAGCCCUGGUGAAUGUCGGCCGUAACUAUAACGGUCCUAAGGUAGCGAAAUACCUUGUCGGGUAAAUUCCGACGCGCACGAAUGGUGUAACGACUGGAGAACUGUCUCGAGGAUUAGCUCGGUGAAAAUACAAUACCGGUGAAGAUGCCGGUUACCUGCAGUUAGACGAAAAGACCCCGGGAGCUUUACUAUAGCUUCACAUUGGGCAUGUUGAUAUUGUGCGUAGAAUAGGUGGGAGAGGUUAUGCGUAUGGUUUCGGUCAUACGAUACUCGUCAGUGAAAUACCACUCUCAAUAUUGGCUUGUCCUAACCUGUACGAAAAAACGUACAGAGACAGUGUGUGGUGGGUAGUUUGUUUGGGGCGAAUCCCUCCUAAAUUGUAACGGAGGGGCCUAUAAAGGUCAGCUAGGCGUGAAUGGAAACCAUGCCGAUAGUGUAAUGGCACAAGCUGGCUUGACUGCAAGACGUACAUGUCGAGCAGGUGCGAAAGCAGAGCAUAGUGAACCGACCUAACGCUUUAGAUGCGUGGGAAGAUCAACGGAUAAAAGCUACCCCGGGGAUAACAGGCUAGUAUCGCCCGAGCGUCCAUAGCGACGGCGGUGUUCGGCACCUCGAUGUCGGCUCAUCUUAUCCUGGGGCUGGAGAAGGUCCCAAGGGUUUGGCUGUUCGCCAAUUAAAAAGAUACGCGAGCUGGGUUCAGACCGUUUAGGAGUUGUCAUUAUUGUAUUUAUAUAAUCUUAAUGACUCCUAUACAGUCUGAAUCAAGUUCUGAAAUACGACACAAUCAGGUUUUUUCGUUUUAAUAAAUAAUAAAAAUAGAUAGUACCAAUCAUUGCGGCGGCAUUAUAUGGCGACAUAUAUUGCAUAUUCAACUGAUAUCGGAAAAAUCCCAUCCUGAGUUUAUCGAAGGAGGAUAAUUCCGAGGGAAGGUUUGCAAAAACCACCCGUAGAGACUGAACGUUGAAACACUCACGAAGUGUAUGCUACAGUCC
rnacentral:sRNA from 1 species